GGUGAGAUGGCCGAGCGGUCUAAGGCGCUAGGUUAAGGCCAACAACCUUAACACCAAAUUUCCUAGUGGAGCAAUCCUCGUGGGUUCGAAUCCCACUCUCAUCA